rnacentral:sRNA from 1 species
AUAGGUCCGUACCCGCCCCGCUAUGUCACUAAACGGACUAGACCCGCGGACUUAAGGUCCGAUUGACAUCCCUACCCGCAAAUAUAGUAUUGUUUUUCCGUUUAUCUUCGCUGUAUUAGUUAGUAUAGCUCUUCUAAAAAUAAGAUAUUAUAUAGAAAUAUAUUCAUAAGUUUAUCUACAUUUAACAACUCAUAUUUUUCUCACAUUCUUUUCAAUAUGUAUAUGAAUUUCUGUCUUCACAAUAUUUUAGUGAGAGUUAUCACUCUUCCUAUCUUUUUGCAAGCACUCGUUUUAUUUGUUUCAUUUUUUCUUACAAUGUCUCUUUCCAUCCUCUUAUGAUUUGUCCAAGCAAUAUGUGCCAUACCUUCUAAACUUUUCACAUGCUCCAUAAUUGUUCUUCGAAAAUCUCUUCCUUUUCUUGUUAUUAUGAUUAUUUUUCAAGCUGGUCAAGAUGUGCUCUAUUUUGUUUUCUGUUAUUCAAAGAAAAUGUUUUAGCUUCUAAAUUGAUACUUAACUCUAUUACUUCUCUCUUUUUAUGCAGUUUAGAUCCUCUUCCCCUUCACGCUUCCUAGAGUGAAAGACCUCAAUUUAUAUCUUCGAGAAUUUGAUUCAAAUUGAUACGAUUAAAAACACCACUAUCAAACCACGUCUUUGUUACGUUUCUUUAAGUUAUACUUAAAAAUAUUGCAUUAGUUGUAUAAAAUCCUAUAAAGGUUUGGGUUUAAUAUUACAU